rnacentral:rRNA from 1 species
AUUGAACGCUGGCGGAAUGCUUUACACAUGCAAGUCGAGCGGCAGCGCGGGGCAACCUGGCGGCGAGCGGCGAACGGGUGAGUAAUGCAUCGGAACAUGUCCAUGGAUGGGGGAUAGCCCGGCGAAAGCCGGAUUAAUACCGCAUGAGCCCGAGAGGGGAAAGUGGGGGACCGCAAGGCCUCACGUCGAUGGGUUGGCCGAUGCCCGAUUAGCUAGUUGGUGAGGUAAUGGCUCACCAAGGCGAUGAUCGGUAGCUGGUCUGAGAGGAUGAUCAGCAACGCUGGGACAGAGACACGGCCCAGACUCCUACGGGAGGCAGCAGUGGGGAAUUUUGGACAAUGGGGGCAACCCUGAUCCAGCCAUUCCGCGUGAGUGAAGAAGGCCUUCGGGUUGUAAAGCUCUUUUGUCCGGAGCGAAACGGGGCGCGUGAAUAUCGCGCUCUACUGACGGUACCGGAAGAAUAAGCACCGGCUAACUACGUGCCAGCCGCCGCCGUAA